UACGUAGGGGGCGAGCGUUGUCCGGAAUCAUUGGGCGUAAAGAGCGUGUAGGCGGUUCGGUAAGUCUGCCGUGAAAACCUGGGGCUCAACCCUGGGCGUGCGGUGGAAACUGUCGAGCUAGAGGAUGGUAGAGGGGAGUGGAAUUCCCGGUGUAGCGGUGAAAUGCGUAGAUAUCAGGAAGAACACCAAUGGCGAAAGCAGCUCUCUGGGACGGUACUGACGCUGAGACGCGAAAGCGUGGGGAGCGAACAGG
rnacentral:rRNA from 1 species